CUCCUCCCCUGUGGAAGAACACCUUCCCCGAAGGAGAAACGGACGCUGGCUCUCAGGGCAGAAGGUAGGGGUGGUGAUUACUCUGGGGCCUCUCGUACAGUCCAGUCAGCUGGCAGAAGAGCAGCGGGGGACAGCUCGAGGGCCCCCAGGUGGCAGCUCCCGGGUUCCCAGCGGUCCCGUCAGGGACAGGAGUCGACUUCCGCUUCUCUUGGUCCGUGGCUUGCUUGCCGGGGGCAUGGAUGGCCCCAGUUGGUACAGCUCAAUUGAUCUCACCAAAAACAGCGAUCUGAUCAAGUCAUCAUGCCAUAAGACCUUCAGGGUCUCCAUCCUCUGGUCACAGCAUACUCUCGAGCUCCUCUUCACCUUCUGCUCUACCAGAUACCCACAUGCCGGCAGUGGGUGAGCAGAGGGCCACACUGCCAUUCUCACUGAGAUAGCUGUUUGUUGUGGAGGACUGUCCUAUGCAUAUAUUCCACCAAAAAAAAAUGUAUACACACUUCAGGAAAAGAAAAAUGGCAUGAUGUUUUUCUACAGAUAUCAUUGCCUUUGCCUGAGGACCCCUAGAGGAUGUCAUAUAUCACAGAAAGGCCACUACACUGCCAGCCCUUCGAGAAGAAAUUGAAAAUGCACGUGCAGCCAUCUCAAUGACCAAGGUUACCCAAGCAGUGGUUC
rnacentral:lncRNA from 1 species